rnacentral:rRNA from 1 species
UGGGGAAUAUUGGACAAUGGGCGAAAGCCUGAUCCAGCCAUGCCGCGUGUGUGAAGAAGGUCUUCGGAUUGUAAAGCACUUUAAGUUGGGAGGAAGGGCAGUAAGCUAAUACCUUGCUGUUUUGACGUUACCGACAGAAUAAGCACCGGCUAACUCUGUGCCAGCAGCCGCGGUAAUACAGAGGGUGCAAGCGUUAAUCGGAAUUACUGGGCGUAAAGCGCGCGUAGGUGGUUCGUUAAGUUGGAUGUGAAAUCCCCGGGCUCAACCUGGGAACUGCAUCCAACACUGGCGAGCUAGAGUAUGGUAGAGGGUGGUGGAAUUUCCUGUGUAGCGGUGAAAUGCGUAGAUAUAGGAAGGAACACCAGUGGCGAAGGCGACCACCUGGACUGAUACUGACACUGAGGUGCGAAAGCGUGGGGAGCAAACAGG